rnacentral:rRNA from 1 species
UGGGGAAUCUUGCUCAAUGGGCGAAAGCCUGAAGCAGCGACGCCGUGUGAGUGACGAAGUCUUUCGGGAUGUAAAACUCUGUCAGUGGGGAAGAUAAUGACGGUACCCACAAAGGAAGCACCGGCAAACUACGUGCCAGCAGCCGCGGUAAUACGUAGGGUGCAAGCGUUGUCCGGAUUUAUUGGGCGUAAAGCGCGUGUAGGUGGUAGGUUAAGUCAGGUGUGAAAUGCUACAGCUCAACUGUAGUCUGCACUUGAAACUGGCCUGCUAGAGGAUAUGAGAGGAAAGUGGAACUCACGGUGUAGCGGUGAAAUGCGUAGAUAUCGUGAGGAACACCAGUGGCGAAGGCGACUUUCUGGCAUAUUUCUGACACUGAGACGCGAAAGCGUGGGGAGCAAACAGG